rnacentral:misc_RNA from 1 species
AAUAAACCAUUAAAUGUUGCAAGUUAAUCCAGAUAUACAUAAAUAGUCUGAAGAAAAAGUGUAUUUGCAUGCCAUUCUAUGAAACUGUCAAUUAUUAAGUCAUAAAAAAUGGAGUUUUACUGUAAAAUUUUCUUAAAUACUUUAGAAACUUUUCUCUAAAUUUCUGUCUCAAUUAUACAUAACAUACAGACAUAAAUUCAAUACACAAUCUUGAUUAAAGCUUCUUGGGAAAAGAUGCAAAAGAUACAAAACCAUUAAAAAAACUCGAUAACAAAUAGUAGCUGCAAAAAGUAUCUUCUAGUUUAUCCACUAAAAGAAAACUGUUAUUUAAUGGAACUAAAAAAAAACACAUGCACGCAC